CAAUAGCGUAUAUUUAAGUUGUUGCAGUUAAAAAGCUCGUAGUUGGAUUUCGGAUGGGAUUUGCCGGUCCGUCGUUACGAUGUGCACUGGCCAGUCCUAUCUUGUUGUCGGGGACUAGCUCCUUGGAUUCACUUCCUGGGACUAGGAGCUGACGAGGUUACUUUGAGUAAAUUAGAGUGUUCAAAGCAAGCCUACGCCCUGAAUACAUUAGCAUGGAAUAACACGAUAGGACUCUGGCUUAUCUUGUUGGUCUGUGAGACCAGAGUAAUGAUUAAGAGGGACAGUCGGGGACAUUCGUAUUUCAUUGUCAGAGGUGAAAUUCUUGGAUUUAUGAAAGACGAACUUCUGCGAAAGCAUUUGUCAAGGAUGUUUUCAUUAA
rnacentral:rRNA from 1 species